rnacentral:rRNA from 1 species
AACAAGGUUUCCGUAGGUGAACCUGCGGAAGGAUCAUUACUGAUUUGCUUAUUGCACCACAUGUGUUUUUCUUUGAAACAAACUUGCUUUGGCGGUGGGCCCAGCCUGCCGCCAGAGGUCUAAACUUACAACCAAUUUUUUAUCAACUUGUCACACCAGAUUAUUACUAAUAGUCAAAACUUUCAACAACGGAUCUCUUGGUUCUCGCAUCGAUGAAGAACGCAGCGAAAUGCGAUACGUAAUAUGAAUUGCAGAUAUUCGUGAAUCAUCGAAUCUUUGAACGCACAUUGCGCCCUCUGGUAUUCCGGAGGGCAUGCCUGUUUGAGCGUCGUUUCUCCCUCAAACCGCUGGGUUUGGUGUUGAGCAAUACGACUUGGGUUUGCUUGAAAGACGGUAGUGGUAAGGCGGGAUCGCUUUGACAAUGGCUUAGGUCUAACCAAAAACAUUGCUUGCGGCGGUAACGUCUACCACGUAUAUCUUCAAACUUUGACCUCAAAUCAGGUAGGACUACCCGCUGAACUUAAGCAUAUCAAUAAGCG